GGGGGAGGGAGAGGGGGAGUAAUAUCAGUGCAAAAUACAACCAAGAUCAUCCUUGCCCUGCAACGUGGCCCAUAGGGCUUCAUGCGCCCAAUGGGCGGUUUGAUGGACAAAGAGGAUGGCACUGAGGUCAGAUAGGAGCAGGAAGAUCUCCCGACCUGCUGGGAGCUUUUUGAUUGAUCGAUUCUGUUCUGAUACUCGAGGUAUUUAUUUUGGGGUGCUUUACUUGCAGAGCCCAUUGUGAGUGGUUGCUGGUUUGGUGGUGACCUCGGUGCUCCAUUAGCUUGCAUUGGUGCUCCCUAAUGUCUCCCCAUUUAUCUGCUGCUGAGAGAGCAAGAAACCUGAAAGUCUGAAUGUGUGGGAUGAGCUGAAGCCCAGAUCUCUUUAUAUCCCAUCAGGUUGGAGCAUGAGCUCCAUCACCCCGUGCCCAUUUUGGGGCUGAGGCCACCAUCUCCAUGCAGGCAUUGAUCCCACAGAGGCAGCCCAGCACCUCCAGCCCCGCGUGUGCAGGAAUGGGAACUCAUUCCCUAACACCCACAAAAAUGCAUUAAGGCUCUUAGCUGCUCAGCUGAGCUGGGGCCGCUCAGCUGAUUUCUCACUGCUUGGAUUGGGGGGGGGGAUUUUUGUGCCUUUUUCUUGCUUUUUAUGCUGGGAUGCAGGAGUGGAGUGGACGUGGGCUUGGGGAUGGAGCUUUGGCAUCGCUGCUCUGUGUUGCUGAGCCUCCAUCCUUGGCUUAUUGCUUCCUUUCCAUUGCUUGCUCCUCUCUGGUUUCUAUACUGUUAUCAAUGAUUUAUGGGGCUGAAGGGCAAGAGAAAAGGAUCUUUCUCUGGCCCCAUUGCCUUCCCCUGUUAAACAUGCCAAAUAAAUUUGGCACUGGGCACUUAAAUCUAUGUGUAGCCCAUGAAUUGCCAUGGAUGGAAGCAAGGUUUAUGUGGAGGGGAAAUACACAAGGCAGAACAAUAUGUAAAAAAUAAAAUAAAUCCGUGCUGGCAACCCAGAACAGCACAGAGCAAUGGGGUGGGGAAAGCAGCAUGGGGUCCUACUGAGCUCCAGCAUCACCGCUGCAGGGCUGCCUCGGAUGGCUAUGCCACAGCACUCAGCAUCCCCAGAUCUGCACAAGCUCCGGGUCUUGGGGCUGGGCUUCAUUUUUUUUUUUCAGCAGAUCCAGUGGCAGGGGGAAGCCUAGGGACCACGGCUCCCCAUGAGGCAGGGUUCUUUCGAAUGAGGUUUGUAGCAUUUGGCUCUGCCUUGUAACUCCUGGGCUGGAGGUCCACGGGGAUGAGGGAUGCUGGGUGAAUUCUGUGGCCAUAAUCAGCUGUAGUGCAGCUGGGGGGUUCUGGGGCUGACAUUUAUCCCGCUCUCAUCCCCUUUUCUCUUUCUCCCCACUAGUGCAGACAGUGGCUUCCCCUGCUGUGAUGCCCCACUCGUUUCCUGGGCAGCCAAGAGCAAUGCUUGAGUCCUGGUGGAAGUUCAUUCAGAAUUGCCUGGAGCGGAGGCUGGAGAGGAAAACCACAACCACAGCAGAGCCUGGACACGGGGAGCUGCUAGCAGGACCCAUCUCAGGGACAGUCACUGUGUGUACCUUCCUCCAUCCUCCUCCUGCUCCCAGCAGCUGAUGGCCUGGAGCAGCACAGAGCAGGCCUGGCAUCGGGCUAUAGGGACACCAGGAGCACCCCGGGGAUAGGACCCAACACCAUGCCACACUGGUGGAGAACACAAAGCUGGAAGAGGGGAAAAAAAAAAAUCAACAGAAGAAGAAGAAAAGAAUGGAAACGAAAGUCUCCAAACUCAGGAGAUCUGUGUUAAUUGCUUACGAACGUCUCCAUCCCAAAAGUUAUCCGAUUGAUGUUGUCGUGCUUUUUUUUUGACAGCCUGUCUGUUAUGUAUUUUUUUUUAAAUAUUCAUGCACCGAAAUCUAAUUACUAGGCAAAUUUAAUGAUAAUGAAAUGAAGGCACUUUAGCAGAAAGCAUAGGGCCUUGUUAAUAUUUUCUCAGUCUCUGUCUUGCUCACAUUUUUUUUUUCACCGCCGCCUUUCUUGCAGUAUAAAAGAAUUGCCAAAAAUAAAACUUGGAUUGCUG
rnacentral:lncRNA from 1 species